rnacentral:lncRNA from 1 species
CAUCCCCGGUACAUGAAUAAAACGGCAUUUUUAAAUGACAUGAUUCUUCCUCACAGGAGACCCGAUAUAUCUGAGAUAGAAGAGGCCACGACUCCAUGUCCAUUCUGCAAAUUUCUUCUCCCAGAGUGUGAACUCCUCUGUCCUGGAUGUAAAAACAGUAUCCCAUAUUGCAUUGCAACAGUGAGUUCCUUUAUAGGUCGACACAUGUUGAAAGAUGACUGGACGGUGUGUCCACAUUGUGACUUCCCUGCUCUAUACUCAGAAUUGAAGAUCAUGCUAAACACUGAAAGCACAUGUCCUAUGUGUUCAGAAAGAUUAAACGCUGCUCAGCUGAAAAAGAUUUCAGACUGUACCCAGUACCUGCGAACGGAGGAGGAACUGUGAUUGGCACGUGCAGAUACAAUGCUCCUGAGAAGACAGCAUUUUCCACAGGAGGCUGUUUCCUCCCCUGGUGGAUUUAAGAGACGGUCCUUUCUGGAUACAGAGAAAUGAAACAACGGUGACCUCUCCAGGUCGGCACUUUCCACUUCUGUACGGUGGCAAAACGAUGACAUGUAACCUUGCUGUUUAUUGUACUUUGUAUAUUAUUUCCUCUUCAAAGUCUUUCUUACACACUCUAUCCUCUGCACUGUUAAUAGUAACCUAUGACAUAAUUGUAAAUAUUCAGCUUUUUGCUAACUUUUGUAUUUUGAAAAACUUUAAAAUAAAAUUGUUGACUA